rnacentral:rRNA from 1 species
GCUCAUUAAAUCAGUUAUCGUUUAUUUGAUAGUACCUUACUACAUGGAUAACCGUGGUAAUUCUAGAGCUAAUACAUGCUAAAAACCCCGACUUCGGGAGGGGUGUAUUUAUUAGAUAAAAAACCAACGCCCUUCGGGGCUUCUUGGUGAUUCAUAAUAACUUAACGAAUCGCAUGGCCUUGCGCCGGCGAUGGUUCAUUCAAAUUUCUGCCCUAUCAACUUUCGAUGGUAGGAUAGUGGCCUACCAUGGUAUCAACGGGUAACGGGGAAUUAGGGUUCUAUUCCGGAGAGGGAGCCUGAGAAACGGCUACCACAUCCAAGGAAGGCAGCAGGCGCGCAAAUUACCCAAUCCCGACGCGGGGAGGUAGUGACAAUAAAUACUGAUACAGGGCUCUUUUGGGUCUUGUAAUUGGAAUGAGUACAAUUUAAAUCCCUUAACGAGGAACAAUUGGAGGGCAAGUCUGGUGCCAGCAGCCGCGGUAAUUCCAGCUCCAAUAGCGUAUAUUAAAGUUGUUGCAGUUAAAAAGCUCGUAGUUGAACCUUGGGCCUGGCUGGCCGGUCCGCCUCACCGCGUGCACUGGUCCGGCCGGGCCUUUCCUUCUGGGGAGCCGCAUGCCCUUCACUGGGUGUGUCGGGGAACCAGGACUUUUACUUUGAAAAAAUUAGAGUGUUCAAAGCAGGCCUUUGCUCGAAUACAUUAGCAUGGAAUAAUAGAAUAGGACGUGCGGUCCUAUUUUGUUGGUUUCUAGGACCGCCGUAAUGAUUAAUAGGGAUAGUCGGGGGCAUCAGUAUUCAAUUGUCAGAGGUGAAAUUCUUGGAUUUAUUGAAGACUAACUACUGCGAAAGCAUUUGCCAAGGAUGUUUUCAUUAAUCAGUGAACGAAAGUUAGGGGAUCGAAGACGAUCAGAUACCGUCGUAGUCUUAACCGUAAACUAUGCCGACUAGGGAUCGGGCGAUGUUAUCAUUUUGACUCGCUCGGCA